rnacentral:rRNA from 1 species
AGUGAACGCUGGCGGCACGCUUUACACAUGCAAGUCGAACGGCAGCGCGGGCUUCGGCCUGGCGGCGAGUUGCGAACGGGUGAGUAAUGCAUCGGAACGUGCCCAGUAGUGUGGUAUAGCGCGGCGACAGCCGGAUUAAUACCGCAUACGACCUGAGGGUGAAAGCGGGGGACCGAGAGGCCUCGCGCUAUUGGAGCGUCCGAUGUCGGAUUGGCUAGUUUGUGGGGUAAAGGCUUACCAAGGCGACGAGCCGUAGCUGGGCUGGGAGGAAGAGCAGCCAAACUGGGACUGAGGCACGGCCCAGACUCCCACGGGGGGCAGCAGUGGGGAAUUUUGGACAAUGGGGGCAACCCUGAUCCAGCCAUGCCGCGUGCGGGAAGAAGGCCUUCGGGUUGUAAACCGCUUUUGUUCGGGAAGAAAUCCUCUGGGCUAAUACCCCGGGGGGAUGACGGUACCGGAAGAAUAAGCACCGGCUAACUACGUG